rnacentral:rRNA from 1 species
GAGUUUGAUCAUGGCUCAGAUUGAACGCUGGCGGCAGGCCUAACACAUGCAAGUCGAACGGUAGCACAGAGAGCUUGCUCUCGGGUGACGAGUGGCGGACGGGUGAGUAAUGUCUGGGAAACUGCCUGAUGGAGGGGGAUAACUACUGGAAACGGUAGCUAAUACCGCAUAACGUCGCAAGACCAAAGAGGGGGACCUUCGGGCCUCUUGCCAUCAGAUGUGCCCAGAUGGGAUUAGCUAGUAGGUGGGGUAACGGCUCACCUAGGCGACGAUCCCUAGCUGGUCUGAGAGGAUGACCAGCCACACUGGAACUGAGACACGGUCCAGACUCCUACGGGAGGCAGCAGUGGGGAAUAUUGCACAAUGGGCGCAAGCCUGAUGCAGCCAUGCCGCGUGUAUGAAGAAGGCCUUC